AUUAAUGCUUAAUAUAGUAUUAAAUACGAAAAUAUCAAUAUUUGACUAACAAAAUAUUAGAUUAUCACACAAAAUCAAAACCAGUAUUAUCAAUAACAACAAAAAUCAUCGCUUAUCCAUUAAAUUUAAUAAAAACCAACAUUUAAAUUCAUCAAAUAUUGGUGGAGGUAGUGGAUUCAUGGUAAAGAAAAUAGUUGAUGGUGAUGAACUUAUUGUUGAUGAAGUGGUCAGAGUGAUACUUAUACGAGGGAGGGGAAGGUAGAGAUAGAAUAAAACUAAUAAUUUUUUAUUUUAAUAAAGAUAAUUCUAUAAAGUAAUAAGAUUAUUUGAAAAGUGGAGCUGAUGAGAUAAUUUGAGGGGUUCAAUUAUCAUUACUCAGAACCGUUUACAUGGAGCUAAUUAAAAAUAGUGAAGUAAUUAAAUACGCUAAUCAUACACAGCUGCAAUGUUAACUAUUAAAACAGCCUAAUGAGCUUAGCCUCAGUUUGACCCUCACCGUUGAUCUACCAUUCCUAUCAUCACUACUUGCCACCUCGCAUUGUAUCAAAUCUCUUCUGUGACCUCAUUGUGCCCUCUCUUCGUAACACAUAAACACAACCAAUUCUUGUACCAAAUUACCAAAUAACCACAAAACUGUUAGAGAGUCGGUGUUAUUUUACUUACNNN
rnacentral:lncRNA from 1 species